rnacentral:rRNA from 1 species
UACGGGGGGGCAAGCGUUGUUCGGAAUUCCUGGGCGUAAAGGGCUCGUAGGCGGCCAACUAAGUCAGACGUGAAAUCCCCAGGCUCAACCUGGGAACUGCGUCUGAUACUGGAUGGCUUGAAUCCGGGAGAGGGAUGCAGAAUUCCAGGUGUAGCGGUGAAAUGCGUAGAUAUCUGGAGGAAUACCGGUGGCGAAGGCGGCAUCCUGGACCGGCAUUGACGCUGAGGAGCGAAAGCUAGGGGAGCAAACGGG